AGAGGGAAAGCGAACCCAGGCAUUCUUCAUCAGCUCUGAUUUAAUGGCUUCCCCUGGGAAGCAGAGCUGAUCACUUCUGUUCAGAUUUCUUUGGUUCAAAGAAGUCACAUGACCACCCCAACUCCAAGGGGUGGGGGCUGCCCAAUUCUUUUCUGGAGAGAGGGGCUGGUGAGCCAGCUACACAAACCGAGAUGGAGCCCAUCUGCAAGAGAGACAUUCAUGAACAUCAAAGAAGAACUUCCUAGAAUUGAUCCGUGGUCCUUACACCCCCAACUCCAGCCUGGCACUGAAGGAGGAUGGCUCUCAAAACCUGCUGAUUGGAUGGCAGGGCUUCCUGCUUCAGCAAGAGGAAACCUCAGACAGAGUGGGAUACAGGGACACAGGUGGCAUCUGCG
rnacentral:lncRNA from 1 species